CAAGUCGAACGCGAAAGUCCCCUUCGGGGGAUGAGUAGAGUGGCGCACGGGUGAGUAACACGUAGGUAAUCUACCUUCGGGUGGGGAAUAACCCAGGGAAACUUGGGCUAACACCGCAUAAUGCAGCGGCACCACAUGGUGACAGUUGUUAAAGCGGGGGAUUUUAGGACCUCGCGCCUGAAGAGGAGCCUGCGGCAGAUUAGCUAGUUGGUAAGGUAACGGCUUACCAAGGCGACGAUCUGUAACCGGCCUGAGAGGGCGGUCGGUCACACUGACACUGACAUACGGGUCAGACUCCUACGGGAGGCAGCAGUCGGGAAUUUUGGGCAAUGGGCGAAAGCCUGACCCAGCAACGCCGCGUGAAGGAUGAAAUCCCUCGGGAUGUAAACUUCGCAAGAUUGGGAAGAAUUAGUAGGGGUUAAUACCCCCUAUGAUGACGGUACCUUUUGUAAGCUCCGGCUAACUCCGUGCCAGCAGCCGCGGUAAUACGGGGGGAGCAAGCGUUGUUCGGAUUUACUGGGCGUAAAGGGCGCGUAGGCGGUCAGCACAAGUCAGUUGUGAAAUCUCCGGGCUUAACUCGGAAAGGUCAACUGAUACUGUGCGACUAGAGUGCAGAAGGGGCAACUGGAAUUCUCGGUGUAGCGGUGAAAUGCGUAGAUNUCGAGAGGAACACCUGCGGCGAAGGCGGGUUGCUGGGCUGACACUGACGCUNAGGCGCGAAAGCCAGGGGAGCGAACGGGAUUANAUACCCCGGUAGUCCUGGCCUUAAACGAUGGAUGCUUGGUGUCUGGAGUUAUAUA
rnacentral:rRNA from 1 species